ensembl:antisense
AACGACGCUCGUCCGGCUCCGGGGCAGGGGCGAGCCUCCAGUCAGUCGGCGGAGGCGGCGUCCCAGCCCCGCACGGCCCGGCCCCACUCACCUGCGGACCCCGUGCCGCCGCUACCGGCCGGAAACGCCAGCCACGCAGCUCUCCACCGGUCCUCUCCUCGCGGCCUUCCCCCGACCCACUUCCGGGGUCGCUCUAGCCCACCGGGAGGCUUCGGUCUCGGUGGUAUCUAGGUCGCUACGCGGCGACCGAGCAAGGAAACGGUCCGGGCCCCACAGCUCAGCCGCCACAGGGAGCCUGGCGUUUCCUGAGGAACGGAAGCCUCGAGCGGGGCGUCCGAUCCUGGGCGCCAUGGCCGGGAGAGCACGGACAGGAGGCUGGGUCCAACGCCACCUUGCGGUGGGAGGUACCCAAGGCCCGCCGGUUGCCAUGACCCCAUGGACCCUUCUUUUAGCUAGAAUUCAAAACGUGUCCAAUUUAGACCUUGUUGAUGAUGAGAUUUGAAUCGUACUACAUAGCGUAGAGGCUUUGAGAGACCUUGAGAUGAGUUGAACCAUUUUGUAUGUUGAACAUACCUGAAUUGCUGGAGACUGGAAAAUGGGCUGCGAUCAGUUGUGAGGGUGCCCAAUCUCUAGUUCCCUGAACCUGUGAGUUCAAGAGCUGAAAGGAACUUGGCAGAUAUGACCAAAUGGAAGUCGUCGAAGUGUUAAGUUUAUUCUGAUUGUCUGAUGGGCUUCAUGUAAGCACAAUGGUUCGUUGUGAAAGGAUCGAGUGAGAGAAGACACUCUAAUGAAGACUAUGAACUGACAACAGAGCCCGGGCCUUGUGAUUUGAAGAAGGAGGAAGACUACCAUUCAAGAAGUGCAAGUGGUUUACAGGAGCUCCAAAAGGCGGGGGAACAUAGUCUUUUCAGGAAUACAGGCCUGUUGGCACCCUGAUCUCAGUACCUUUGGUCCUCAGAAGUGUGAGAAAAAAAUAAUUGUGUUGUUUUGGGGGCUCCACACUGGGGUAAUCAGUCAUAGCUCCAUAGAAACACAGAUUGUGGAAACCUGUUCCUCCUUAAUUCACAUCCUUGCCUGAGUACCCAGGACCCCUGUCUGCCUGUUCUAACCCCUGCCCUCUCUUAAAUCUCUUGCUCUCUCCAUUCACACUCCCCAGGGAUCUCCAGUACAAGAUUUCUAAUAAUACCAAGGAAGGCUGGGUGGCUCCCAGAUCCAUGUCUCCUUCCCGAAUCUC